rnacentral:rRNA from 1 species
AUUGAACGCUGGCGGCAUGCUUUACACAUGCAAGUCGAACGGUAACAGGUUAAGCUGACGAGUGGCGAACGGGUGAGUAAUGCAUCGGAACGUGCCCGGUCGUGGGGGAUAACGCAGCGAAAGCUGCGCUAAUACCGCAUACGAUCUGAGGAUGAAAGCGGGGGACCGUAAGGCCUCGCGCGAUCGGAGCGGCCGAUGUCAGAUUAGGUAGUUGGUGGGGUAAAGGCUCACCAAGCCGACGAUCUGUAGCUGGUCUGAGAGGACGACCAGCCACACGGGGACUAAGACACGGCCCAGACUCCUACGGGAGGCAGCAGUGGGGAAUGUUGGACAAUGGGCGCAAGCCUGAUCCAGCAAUGCCGCGUGCAGGAAGAAGGCCUUCGGGUUGUAAACUGCCUUUGUACGGAGCGAAAAGGCUCUCUCUAAUACAGGGGGCUCAUGACGGUACCGUAAGAAUAAGCACCGGCUAACUACGUGCCAGCCGCCGCCGUAA